GAUGAACGCUAGCGGCAGGCCUAACACAUGCAAGUCGAGGGGUAACUAGAGUGAUAGCAAUAUUACUUUGGCUAGACCGGCGCACGGGUGCGUAACACGUAUGCAACCUACCUUAUACUGGGGAAUAACUUCGAGAAAUCGGCGCUAAUACCCCAUAGCAUUGCGAAGAGGCAUCUCUUUGCAAUUAAAGCUCCGGCGGUAUACGAUGGGCAUGCGUCCAAUUAGCUAGUUGGUGAGGUAACGGCUCACCAAGGCUACGAUUGGUAGGGGUUCUGAGAGGAUGAUCCCCCACACUGGUACUGAGACACGGACCAGACUCCUACGGGAGGCAGCAGUGAGGAAUAUUGCGCAAUGGACGAAAGUCUGACGCAGCCAUGCCGCGUGCAGGAUGACGGCCCUAUGGGUUGUAAACUGCUUUUGUACGGGAAUAAACCCUUCUACGUGUAGGAGGCUGAAGGUACCGUAAGAAUAAGCACCGGCUAACUCCGUGCCAGCAGCCGCCGUAACAC
rnacentral:rRNA from 1 species